UACGUAGGGGGCAAGCGUCGUCCGGAUUUAUUGGGCGUAAAGAGCGUGUAGGCGGCCAGACAGGUCAGCUGUGAAAACUCGAGGCUCAACCUCGAGACGUCGGUUGAAACCGUCUGGCUAGAGUCCGGAAGAGGAGAGUGGAAUUCCCGGUGUAGUGGUGGAAUGCGUAGAUAUAGGGAAGAACACCAAUAAAGGCGAAGGUAGUUAACUAUUCUAUUCCUGACAUUGAGGCAUGAAAGCGUGGGGAGCAAACGGG
rnacentral:rRNA from 1 species